rnacentral:rRNA from 1 species
UACGUAGGGGGCAAGCGUUGUCCGGAAUUAUUGGGCGUAAAGCGCGCGCAGGCGGUUUCUUAAGUCUGAUGUGAAAGCCCACGGCUCAACCGUGGAGGGUCAUUGGAAACUGGGGAACUUGAGUGCAGAAGAGGAAAGUGGAAUUCCAAGUGUAGCGGUGAAAUGCGUAGAGAUUUGGAGGAACACCAGUGGCGAAGGCGGCUUUCUGGUCUGUAACUGACACUGAGGCGCGAAAGCGUGGGGAGCAAACAGG